rnacentral:rRNA from 1 species
UACGAAGGGUGCAAGCGUUACUCGGAAUUACUGGGCGUAAAGCGUGCGUAGGUGGUUUGUUAAGUCUGAUGUGAAAGCCCUGGGCUCAACCUGGGAAUGGCAUUGGAAACUGGCUUACUAGAGUGCGGUAGAGGGUAGUGGAAUUCCCGGUGUAGCAGUGAAACGCGUAGAUAUCGGGAGGAACAUCUGUGGCGAAGGCGACUACCUGGACCAGCACUGACACUGAGGCAUGAAAGCGUGGGGAGCAUAAGGG